GUGACGUGAUGAACUUGUUUAUCCAUUCGCUGAGCGGCGUCCUGCGGAGCCUGAUAUUCUGCUCCCGUUCUGGGGGCGGAGUCUCUCUGCGUUUCAGGAUGUUUUUCGGCGUUCUGCCGGAUGGCGCUUGACUCGUACGAGUGGAUGGCUCUGUCGGUGUCUGCCGAGACGACCGGAACGUUCUGAUCAC